CAGGAAAAGCGAGGCCAGAAAAAGGCUAGGAUUAGUAGCGAAAGGCAUCCACUGUAUGCAUGCAAGUCCUUGCCACACGCACGCCGGAACCUUCUCGAACCUUCUCGACUCUGGCCGGCCCCACCCCACGAUUGUUCCAGGGAAGACGCUGCCCGAGGCUCUGUGUCUAAUCUGGUGGCCCUGGAGAGUGACCCGGAAUCCCAUCACGCUUUCAAUGUCUUCAACACCCGGAUGCAGAUGGAGAAGACCCAGAGUGGAUGGGGCUAAGUUUGGAGGCAUCCAAAGGGGGCAUCUGACCAGCCUAGGAGGAGGACAGGGAGGGCUUCCUGGAGGAGGGGACCUGGCAGCGGAAAGAGCAGGUCUGAGGCCUCUGUCACCAGCGCCCACCUUCAGCUUCUCCAGAUCUUCCACACCGAGACCAAGCAGGGUGCCGUGCUGCACCCCACCUGCAUCUUCACCAACAGCCCCGAGGUGCUGCACACACAGGAGCAGGAGGCCAGGGGCGGCGACAGGAACCGAGGUACCGUGAGCCCAGCAGGGUGCCAGAGUUCCAGUUGCUCCAUCCUCAUCCUUAUCCUCGCCAGCACUUGGGAGAAUCAGUCUCUUUAAUUUCAACAUUCCAAUGGGCCUAGGGAAGUAUCUCAUUGUGAUUUAAAUUUGCAUUUUCCUAAAUAUUAAUGAAGUCUUUUCAUGCCCUUAUUUGCCAGUCCUAUGUCUUCUCUGAUGAAGUGUCUAUUUCCUCAAAUC